GAGUUUGAUCAUGGCUCAGAAUGAACGCUGGCGGCAGGCCUAACACAUGCAAGUCGAACGGAGUUAUAUUGUAGCUUGCUAUGGUAUAACUUAGUGGCAGACGGGUGAGUAAUGUAUAGGAAUCUACCUAGUAGUACGGAAUAAUUGUUGGAAACGGCAACUAAUACCGUAUACGCCCUACGGGGGAAAAAUUUAUUGCUAUUAGAUGAGCCUAUAUUAGAUUAGUUAGUUGGUGAGGUAAAGGCUUACCAAGACAAUGAUCUAUAGCUGAUCUGAGAGGAUGAUCAGCCACACUGGAACUGAGAUACGGUCCAGACUCCUACGGGAGGCAGCAGUGGGGAAUAUUGGACAAUGGGCGAAAGCCUGAUCCAGCCAUGCCGCAUGAGUGAAGAAGGCCUUCGGGUUGUAAAGCUCUUUUAGUGAGGAAGAUAAUGACGGUACUCACAGAAGAAGUCCUGGCUAACUCCGUGCCAGCAGCCGCGGUAAUACGGAGAGGGCUAGCGUUAUUCGGAAUCAUUGGGCGUAAAGGGCGCGUAGGCGGGUUAGUAAGUUAAAAGUGAAAUCCCAAGGCUCAACCUUGGAACUGCUUUUAAAACUGCUAGUCUAGAGAUUGAAAGAGGAUAGAGGAAUUCCUAGUGUAGAGAUGAAAUUCGUAAAUAUUAGGAGGAACACCAGUGGUGAAAGGC
rnacentral:rRNA from 2 species